AUGUAACCAGUUGAAAUUCUCUUAUAAAUCGGCAAACUCCCUGCGAUGAACAGCACUGCGAAAUCGAGAAGAACGAUCUUCAACAAUAGUGUAUUGAUUCAUCAUGCUUGCCGGGCUCAAGCUGGCUUCUGUUCAAACCUAGCUGAUGUCUGUUUGUUGAAAGUCGUGGAGGCUCAGAAUGUAAAGAAUCUCAGAUCCAUGGCUAACAAGACAUCAAUAUCAACGGAGACGGAACCCUCUGUUGUUCUUCCACGACGUUCCUCCUGGGGUGGGAACGGCGAAGAUCAUCUCCAAACUCAUCCUUUUAUCGGAACCUCUCCGCAUUGAUAUACAGCUGUUAUUCAUCGACAAAAAAGUAAGGAUUCUAUUUACUAUUCUAUAUUCUCCCUAUUUAAGAAUCAAAAACUCUGACUAAUUGCAUUCACAUAGGGCACUCUGAUUACAAUGCUUUAUCUCCCCUUAUCGUACUGCUAGUGACGCCAAAUAUGAAAAGUUCUAUUUGGGAGUGAUAAGUGAGAGAUUCCUGUGAGAUUGUGUUUAUAUCAUCUAUUAAAACCACAACAAACAAAUCUAUUUGUGUAUACUCGUUUUUAUCUUAACUAUUUCCAGCAGUGUUAUAUAUAUUUCUUAAACUUCCUCUCGAAUUCUAACUUGGUGUCUUGUAAUGCACAGCACUAUAAGUUUGUCAAUAGAACUAGAAGUCGAACCAACUCCAGAAGAUAUAGAAAUAGACUUAAGGAGAGGAUGAAACUGCAGAAAUUAACUUUAGGUACAUUGUGUCUUCUUCUUUCUAUUUUUUUUAUUUUAGUAUUUUGGAAAGAUAAACAAUUUAAUAUGUUUCCAUGUGUUCUACCGUAGAUAAAGAACUCCAAUAUUGUAGCUAACGGCCUUGAAGAACAAUGAUAUUACAAAGAUUCUUUGAAGGUAAACUAUAUAUGCAAUUUUGGUAUUCAUUUUAUAUGUACUCCCAAUCAUUUCCAUUACAAUAACUCUAGGUUGAUGUCCUUCACGUCAGGUUAAAGAUCUUAAAUGGUCCUAGACUGAAAGAGCCUAAAGGAUUCAAGCUUGAGCUUUUUGUAACUCGAAUGCCUAUUUUAAUAUUAUCUAAUUAAUGUUGACCAUGAGCUCGCACCGCUUCGACAAGAGCACAUAUUGUUUCUUUAUUUUAUUUAUAUUUGGUAUAAAAUUACGAGACUAAAAACUGAAACAUAGCCUGCUAGCAAUGACUAGCAUGUUUGAUAGGUUCAGUAGUUUUGACUCUGAUGUUUUUUUCUUAAACAGGGAACUGCAGCAGAAAAUCAUUCCAAACAGAAGCUGAUUUCACAAAAAAGAUUCUUCAGGUUGCAGAGUAUUAGGGCCCAUCAGUGUUAAAAAAACAUGACAAAACAAAAAUAAGGCCUUAGCAAAUACAAAACCAAAACCUGUAGGAGUUAGCAUCUGCUUAGUUAUAUUUUGGCUGUUAACCAGAUGUGUUGUAAAGAAUCUCUAACUUCUACGGCUGCCUGUCUACUUUUGGUAUAUUUCUCAUAUGAUCUCCAACUUAUGUGCCCACCUUUUGCAGCUCUCUUAUUUUUAAAUGCAUCACUUACAAAAUAUGCAUUUCCGCAAGAAACGCUAAGAUUUACUAAAUCAAAGACAAUUAAGAACAUUUCUAUUAAAACAACAUGACUUUUUAGGAGUCUAUCUCCAAACAGCCGCAGAAGGUUUAUACUUGGACAAAUUAGGAAGGACACAAAGAAAAUGGACAUGAUAUUUAUGUUGAAAAGACAUCAAUAAAGUCAAUGGCAUUAAGCACAUGUAAAAAACUUCAGUGUUACUUAACAACACUCACAACAACAAAUACCACAGUAACAUAUCUCCCCAAUAACA